ensembl:lncRNA
GAUUCUUUCAAGAUUAGGACUGUUCAACCAACACAUUUAACCAAUGGUCAGAACUUGUCAGAAAACCAGUCUGCAUAAAGGUGUAUUGAGUCACUUUCCCAGAACUCAGGUUAGCAUAUACUUGAAAUAUAUUGUAAAUUUAAGACCUAUUGAGAGUAAAAUACUUAGACACCUCUCUUUUCUCUUCCCUGAUCUUUGAUGUAUCAUAUAUGAAUUUUUAUAAUUAGAAACUGCUCAUCAUAGACUAAAAUAACUUGAAUUAUUGUUAAAACUAAGAUAUAUAUUAUGUGAUAAUUUUUCUUUAAACUACAUCCAACCGGGUGGUUCUUUUCCUUUCCUUAUUUUUGAGAUGCCCCAAGAAAUUAAAUUAAAAACAUAUGAUCUAGUUAAAACAUUAAUACCUCAAACAUAAGCCUGCAGAAAUCUAUAAAAUAAUGCAACCACUAUGUAAUAAUACCAAGAUGUUCAAAUACAAAAAGGUACCAUUUCAAAGUGGUUACUUCUGAAAGCAAAAACUUUAGUCAUCAAAGCUUCCAUUGAGUAAAACACUUUAAGAACGACCUUUUGACAUUACCUCCAGUGUUCAUUUACAAGUCAAAAGUGAAAACUAAUUCCACCAUUUUAUAGUUAAAUGUUAUAAGCCUACCAAUAUUGCUCCAAAAUAACACUAGGCAAAUUUCUUAAAAUGCUACAGUACUACUCCUGUACUAGGUCAUAAACAGAGUUGGAAUAAAUUCCAAAUAAUUUUUUUUUUCUUUAAAGGAAUGCUGAUCAGCCAUUCAUUGUGCUUACUUUCAGGGGUAAUAGUAAGAAUGAAACCACUAUGCCUGAUCAUGGGCCUUUUGGCUCUUGCAACAUGUUUCUUGCCCACUGAGAGUCACAGUGGUCCCAGGAGACGAUAUCCUUCUAGGCCACUGCCGCCUCCUCCUCCUUUUGGUCUAGGAUUUGUUCCACCCCCUCCUCCCUUAUGGCCCNNNNNNNNNNNNNNNNNNNNNNNNNNNNNNNNNNNNNNNNNNNNNNNNNNNNNNNNNNNNNNNNNNNNNNNGGAAGAAUUCCACCCCCUCCUCCACCUUAUGGCCCCGGAAGAAUUCCACCCCCUCCUCCACCUUAUGGCCCCGGAAGAAUUCCACCUCCUCUUCCACCCUAUGGCCCUGGAAGAAUUCCACCUCCUCCUCCACCUUAUGGCCCAGGUUAUUCAUAUCUACCUUUCCAACCAAGGCCUUAUCUGCCUGGAUCUCCAUUCAUCCCACAUAUUCCCUUUAUUCCUGUACCCCAAAUACAAACUACAACAGGCUCCAUUACAACCACAACAGAUGCCACUACCACCCAAACAGACUCCACCAUCCCCACAACCACUGCUUCGACUGCCCAGGAGACAACCACUGCUUCGACUGCCCAGGAGACAACCAGUGCUUCGACUGCCCAGAAGACAACCAGUGCUUCGACUGCCCAGAAGACAACCACUGCUUCGACUGCCCAGGAGACAACCACUGCUUCGACUGCCCAGGAGACAACCAGUGCUUCGACUGCCCAGAAGACAACCAGUGCUUCAACUGCCCAGAAGACAACCAUCGCUUUGA